AAAAUUUCACGGCUCGAACACUCCGCCCGAUUUCCGAAAAGUGAACAGACACCAAACUGUGAAGCGCAACAUCGCGCCUCUGGUUCAUCGAAGUCACGUCACGGUGGCUCGCCGGCGUUCGAAACUUCUCGUCGCCAUGAGAACGGCGGGCUCCGAAGAGUCCUCGCGCUUGACCCACAAGCGGAAGCGCGAUUGCUCUCUCGUCUCCAAGCGCUCUAAUUCCGAUCACCGGAAGUGGAAGCGCGAACCGGACUCCCGUCUUCCUGCUGCCGGCAGCCGCGAGGACCCGCCUCGCAGAGCCAAGCGGAGGAGAACCCGAGGCGAAGGAGGGAGAGACGUUUAUGGGAGUCGCCAAUGGGUCUUCUCUCCUCGCGAUCUUUCUUCUUUUAGGGAUAGCUUCGUAAUCGUCUCAUAUAACAUAUUGGGUGUUGAAAAUGCUUCAGAACAUGUAGAUCUAUAUGACAAAAUUAAUCCACAACAUCUAAGUUGGGACACACGGAAGAGGCAGAUACACAAGGAGUUAAGUUGCUAUAAUCCAAGCAUUUUAUGCUUCCAGGAAGUUGACAGAUUUAACGAUUUGGCCAAUCUUCUUCAAAAAGAUGGUUUUGUUGGUGUUUAUAAGGGACGCACAGGACAAGCAAGUGAUGGAUGUGCUAUAUUCUGGAAAGAGGAAGAAUUUACUCUUUUACAUCAUGAAGAUAUAGAAUUUCGGAAGUUUGGUCUUCGAGACAAUGUUGCCCAACUUUGCCUUUUCAAGGUCUCUCAUAACCAUUCAAACAUGUCGAAAAAUAAAGAUGCAAGUUGUCAGAUAGCUGCGCCUAGGCCCUGUCAGACUUUACUUAUUGGCAACAUCCACGUGUUGUUCAACCCUAAGCGAGGAGAUAUCAAGUUGGGGCAGGUCCGCGUGCUACUACAGAGAGCAAAUACAUUAUCACAAGAGUAUGGCAACACUCCAGUUGUGAUUUCUGGUGAUUUAAAUAGCAUGCCUCAGAGUGCAAUUUACCAGUUUUUUACUUCAUCCGAGUUAGAUAUUCUCGCUUAUGAUCGCAAGAAAAUUUCUGGUCAGAUAGAAUUUCCAGUAAGACAGAUGCCCUUUAUUGCUCGGAAUGAUGCCUUGAGGACACCAAAGUGCAUCUCAUAUAGGAUGAAAUAUAAAUGGAGUGAAGAAGAGAUACAUCUUGCAGCUGGAAGCAGAGGAUGCACCCGUCUUCAGAACCCUCUAAAACUCUGCAGUGCAUAUCAAGGAAUUCCUGGACAUGACAAUACCAGAGAUGGUAAUGGUGAGCCUUUGGCAACUUCCUAUCAUUCCAAGUUUAUGGGAACUGUCGACUAUAUCUGGUUUGUUCAGGCAUUCUUCUGCACUUGUUCCUGUAGGGGUUGUUGAAACCUUGCCAAUCAAUGUUUUAAAAAGAUUGGGAGGUCUACCUAGUGAGAAGUGGGGUAGUGAUCAUCUUGCUUUGGUUUGUAAAUUUGCCUUUGUUGAUGAUGCCAACUGCAGUAAUACCCUACAUGAUUCGGAAUAAGCAUGAACAGCCAUCAAGCUCUAUGGGAAGUCCAGCUUACAGCACCACUGACGAACAUCGGGCACCCCAGGCUGAGUGAUCUGGACAAAGUCCGCGGACUCAACCCAGAGUGAAGAUAUUUAAUGGACAGUCUGGCUCGAACCCUAAACUCUAAACCUUGAACCCUCAAUAGUGCUUGAUCUGAGAAACCUCGCGGACAUUACAUUGUAGAGGCCCACCUCAUGUUUCUAUUUCAUCAGCAAAAAUACCCCAUGUGAAAAUUGUAUGAAAUCUGAAUUUUUUUUGCCAUUCUGCUGCCGUAGUGCCAUAUUGAUGGCCUGCUAAGUGGGUGACUUUCUCAUCAUUACUCUGGUCACAAUAAAUGUUACAGUUUCUAAUGAUGAUUCCUAGGGUGAAUUCCAAGGUCGAAAUUUAUGGCA